CUUCUCACUGCCAAAUGUCAGCAUUGUACGACUCUUAAUACAGUCUAUAGACAAAACCACUAACAAAGUAGUAUCUUAUAACUAUGAGCCAGGUUUCAGAGAAAGUAAUGACCAAUGUCGAGAGCAAAAUCAAUUUCCUCCAUCAUACACAUACAAGCUAGUCUAUAGAAAAAACCACUAACAAAGUAGUAUCUGAUAACUAUGAGCCAGGUUUCAGAGAAAGUAAUGACCAAUGUCAAGAGCAAAAUCAAUUUCCUCCAUCAUGCACAUACAAGCUACCAAUUCGUAUAGGAAAUCAUUCAGAAAUCUACCUUCCACUCCCUACUAAAAGUUGAUCAAAAGACAGAAGGAAAGGGAUAAAAGAGGAAAUUUAUCGAGAAAAUCAAGAA
rnacentral:lncRNA from 1 species